GUCUAUGGCCAGGCCAUCCUGAACACACCCAAUCUCAUCUGAUCUUGGAAGCUAAGCAGGGUCAAGUCUGGUUAGUACUUGGAUGAGAUGUCUUCAAUAUUAAAGGCA
rnacentral:rRNA from 1 species